rnacentral:rRNA from 1 species
AUUGAACGCUGGCGGCAGGCCUAACACAUGCAAGUCGAACGAGUGGCGGACGGGUGAGUAAUGUCUGGGAAACUGCCUGCUGGGGGGGGAUAACUCCUGGAAACGGUAGCUAUUACCGCAUACCAUCAGAUGUGCCCAGAUGGGGUUAGCUAGUAGGUGGGGUAACGGCUCACCUAGGCGACGCUCCCUAGCUGGUCUGAGAGGAUGACAAGCCACACUGGAACUGAGACACGGUCCAGACUCCUACGGGAGGCAGCAGUGGGGAAUAUUGCACAAUGGGCGCAAGCCUGAUGCAGCCAUGCCGCGUGUAUGAAGAAGGCCUUCGGGUUGUAAAGUACUUUCAGCGAGGAGGCGUUACCCGCAGAAGAAGCACCGGCUAACUCCGUGCCAGCAGCCGCGGUAAUAC